AAGUACGAGCUCUCGUACAGUGAAACUGCGAAUGGCUCAUUAAAUCAGUUAUGGUUCAUUUGAUCGUACAGUUUACUUGGAUAACUGUGGUAAUUCUAGAGCUAAUACAUGCGAGAAGCGCCGACCUCGCGGGAGGCGUGCAUUUAUCAGACCAAAAACCGGGCCGCGUCUUCGGGCGCGUUCGCCUUGGUGACUCUGGAUAACUUUGCGGAUCGCACGGUCUAGCACCGGCGACGGAUCAUUCAAGUGUCUGCCCUAUCAACUUUCGUCGGUACGGUAUUUGCCUACCGAGGUUCUUACGGGUGACGGGGAAUCAGGGUUCGAUUCCGGAGAGGGAGCCUGAGAAACGGCUACCACAUCCAAGGAAGGCAGCAGGCGCGCAAAUUACCCAUUCCCGACGCGGGGAGGUAGUGACGAAAAAUAACAAUGCAGGACUCGUUCGAGGCCCUGUAAUUGGAAUGAGUACACUUUAAAAGCUUUAACGAGUAUCCAUUGGAGGGCAAGUCUGGUGCCAGCAGCCGCGGUAAUUCCAGCUCCAAAAGUAUAUAUUUAAGUUGUUGCGGUUAAAAAGCUCGUAGUUGGAUUUUGGGCGCAGGCGGCCGGUCCGUCGCAAGGCGUGUACUGGACGUCCAGGCCUUCCCUCCGGUUCUCCGCCGGUGCUCUUGACUGAGUGUCGGCGGCGGCCGGAACGUUUACUUUGAAAAAAUUAGAGUGUUCAAAGCAGGCUCUCGAGCCUGGAUAAUGGUGCAUGGAAUAAUGGAAUAGGACCUCGGUUCUAUUUUGUUGGUUUUCGGAGCGCGAGGUAAUGAUUAAGAGGGACAGACGGGGGCAUUCGUACUGUGCCGUUAGAGGUGAAAUUCUUGGAUCGGCGCAAGACGAACGACUGCGAAAGCAUUUGCCAAGAAUGUUUUCUUUAAUCAAGAGCGAAAGUCAGAGGUUCGAAGACGAUCAGAUACCGUCCUAGUUCUGACUAUAAGGGAUGCCAACUAACGAUCGGGGGGCG
rnacentral:ncRNA from 1 species